CAGAUGUCAACACGUGAGCUAAGUUUACUAAUAAGAGGCAAGAAACGGAGUCUUGAUGUAUACUCUCCAUGUUUCCUAACCGGUUCUAUGAGUUAAUUCGAUAAGCUAAACUCUAUUACCUACGUAAAACUACCUAGUGUUGUACGAGAUACCACAACACCUAGUGGACCUAUAGAAGACUAUAAGUAGAAAGGUACGACGUUGUUCCUCCCACAUACUCGAAUCUCUCAAGAAUCACAGGAAAGAGCACUGACAAGUUUAUUCCACGAAAAAAACCACUAGUGUUUAAACUAGUAUAUCACAGGAUAUACUAAGUACAAAGAAUAAAUUAAUGUUCACUACUUCUGUAUACAACGUCGACUUUACUAACGGGAACGUAGCACGAUUAAUUUAGUGUAGACGUAAGACUACUAGGGUCUUAGACUAAUAAUCCGUAUCUUCACUCUUUUGAAGGUGCUACUUCACUGACGAACGAAGUGUACGUGUACCGAACGGACUAUAUUAGUGCUGGAAGCGCACACUAGACCUCACCGGACUCUAUCAAGUCCCAGAACUUGUACCCGUUUUUCGUCAGCUGUCCUGACUAUAAUGGCAUGCUCACGUAGUCUACUUCGAAGAACUAAUGGACGUCUUUUAGUCGUGGCCCGUCCACAAGCCCUGACAGCAACGAC
rnacentral:rRNA from 1 species